GGGCGGUUAGUUUAAUGGUAAAACGCUCGAUUCACAUUCGAGAAAGCAUAGGUCCGAUUCCUAUACCGCCCA
rfam:Candidatus Harrisonbacteria bacterium RIFCSPHIGHO2_02_FTLL_42_16 rifcsphigho2_02_scaffold_5140, whole genome shotgun sequence.